rnacentral:rRNA from 2 species
GGAGGUAGUGACAAUAAAUCACAAUGCGGAACUUCUGUUUUGCAAUUGGAUUGAGAACAACGCACAACACUUAUCGAUAAACAAUUGGAGGGCAAGUCUGGUGCCAGCAGCCGCGGUAAUUCCAGCUCCAAUAGCGUAUAUUAACGUUGUUGCAGUUAAAAAGCUCGUAGUUGAAGUGAAGUGUGGAAGUUUAGCAUUUUCGUUUGAAUUUGUUUCUCUUCUAUACUCUUUCCAAAUAGUUUGCAUGGGUAUUCAUUUAUCUGUGUAUUGCAUUUGGUCAUUUACUGUGAGAAAAUUAGAGUGUUCAAAGCAUACGUUUGUUUGAAUACAUUAGCAUGGAAUAAUUCGAAAAGGCUUUCAUGUUCGAUUUGAUUGGUUUGUUCGUGAAGGCAAGAUUAAAAGGGACAGUUGGGGGUAUUCAUAUUCAAUAGUCAGAGGUGAAAUUCUCGGAUUUAUGGAAGAUGAACAAGUGCGAAAGCA